CAAAAAUGGAGUCCAUGCAGUGUUUAUCGGUAGCUAAUCUGUUUAUUGCCACUGAUAACAGAACAUGACGGUAAAUAACGAUAUGGAAGUACUUAAUACUUUGCUGCAAAUAAGUUAACAAGUACAUACCUAAGACAAAACGAUAUCUCCACAAACAAUACAGUGAUCAGGAAAGAUGUAGCUACAGUACUCGUUUAUUAUUUUAACAAGGAGAGGGAAACAGUUUCAUGAAAGCUAAUAAAUGAAGAGUCUGGAGAUUUCCCCCAUAGAUUUUGAGAUUCAAUGUCUUAAUAAAUCCUGCAUCAACACCAGCAUAUAACAGCCCCUGAAACUACAGAGCAACAAGACAGUGUCUUUAGAUGACUUCUUUAAAUUUACAAAGCUAAACAGGAUCUUUAAAUCCAGGAUACAACUCAUAUUUCUUAGACUUAGUGAGAACAAUCCAUUCAUACACCUAUUGCAAGCUGGAAACUCAGACUGUCUGCAGAACCUUAUUAAUUUUUCUAAUUGCCAAGUUAAACUACACCAUUUGCCAUGAAUAGUAUAUAAAUGAUGCUCUUAUAGACAGACAGAAUAGACAGUGAAUAUAAAUUAUUAUAAUUUCAAAAUUAAAUCACAUUGUACAAGUUUCUAAACAAUGUAUGAAUAAACAAAAAAAUUAUGAUUUAAUGAUAAUGUUAAUAUUACUAAUAUAGUUUUAUCUUGUAGUAAGUUGUUUAUUUUUGUUCUAUAAAUCGGUGAAAUGCGCGACUUUUUGUAUUUGCCAAAGGUCGUCGCGCGUUUUCUCCCCCGAAAAAUUUUGGCCAUGUU